rnacentral:lncRNA from 1 species
UUUUUUUUUUUUUUAGCAGAGAUGGGGUUUCACCGUGUUGGUCAGGCUGGUCUCAAACUCCUGACCUCAAGUGAUCCACCUGCCUCAGCCUUCCAAAGUACUGGGACUGCAGGUGUGGGCCAUGCUCCCGGCCCCUUUUGCCCAUUUUUAAUGUAAAUCAGUGUAACCUCUAUGGAAAACAGUGUGGAGAUUCCUUACAGAGCUAAAAGUAGACCUACCAUUCGAUCCAGCAAUCCCACUCCUGGGUAUCUACCCAAAGGAAAAGAAGUCAUUCUAUGAAAAAGACCCUUGCACGGGUAUGUUUAUUCCAGCACAGUUCACAAUUGCAAAGAUCUGGAACCAACCUAAGUGCCCAUCGACUAACGAGUGGCUAAAGAAAAUGCGGCACAGAUACACCAUGGAAUACUGCUCAGCCAUAAAAACGGAGCAAAAUAAUGCCUUUUGCAUCAACUUAGAUGGAGCUGGAGGCCAUUAUUCUAAGUGAAGUAACACAGGAGUGGAAAAUAAAAAACCGUAUGUUCUCACUUUUAAGUGAGAGCUAAGCUGUGAGUAUACAGAGGCAUACAGAGUGAUGUAACGGACUUCAGAGACUCAGAAGAGGGGCGGCGAGAGGGGGCUGGAGAUUUUUAAAAUGACACUUUUAGAUGCGGUCUUGCUCUGUGACCCAGGCUGUAGUACAGUGGCACAAUCACGGCUCACUAUAGCCUCAACAACCUAGGCUCCAGUGACCCUCCCACCUUCAGCCUCCUGAGUAGCUGGGACUACAGGCAUGCACCACUGCACCCAGCUAAUAUUUUUGAUUUUUAGUACAGACAAGGGCUCACUAUAUUUCCCAGACUGGUCUCGAACUCCUGAGCUCAAGCAAUCCUCUCUCCUCAGCCUCCCAAAUGCUGG